rnacentral:lncRNA from 12 species
GAUUAAUUGAAAUAUAAGUUCAUUAGGAGGUGAUGCUGAUUCAUAUUUUGUCAUUUAUGAUGACACAUUAUAUUGAUAUAUGAACACCUUUCCAAGCAAAAUAAAUGUACCGUUUUUUAAUGUAUGUAUUUUUUUUUUUUUUUUUCUGCCAGAUAUUUACACUUCUCGGUUUAAUCAGCUACUUGUGUUUGGCUGGCAGGUCUGCCAUUCUUACCAUUUAGAGGGGCUUAAAAGAAAGGCACCUAUUCAUGAUAUUCACAGGUAUUAACAAGGCAGAGAGAAAGAGAGAGAUAUGCAUGAAACAACAAAUACAAUCAGUAAAUGACGUCCAGAUGGCAGCAGAAAGGUGAAAGAACUUCAAUUACAUAGUGAGAUGCAUUUCUGUUUUUUGUUGUAAUAAAUAAUAAUAAAUAGUAGAUGUAGUGAUGAAGUGGGGAUCAUCACUACAUCAAAUGCAGACCACUUUGAAUUUGGCUUCUAUCUAAAUGAUUAAUUUACCCCAAAAAGUAAUUCUGU